AGAGUUUGAUCCUGGCUCAGGAUGAACGCUGGCGGCGUGCUUAACACAUGCAAGUCGAACGAUGAAGCCAGCUUGCUGGUGGAUUAGUGGCGAACGGGUGAGUAACACGUGAGUAACCUGCCCUUGACUCUGGGAUAAGCCUGGGAAACCGGGUCUAAUACUGGAUACGACCUUCCCACGCAUGUGGUGUUGGUGGAAAGCUUUUGUGGUUUUGGAUGGACUCGCGGCCUAUCAGCUUGUUGGUGGGGUAAUGGCCUACCAAGGCGACGACGGGUAGCCGGCCUGAGAGGGUGACCGGCCACACUGGGACUGAGACACGGCCCAGACUCCUACGGGAGGCAGCAGUGGGGAAUAUUGCACAAUGGGCGCAAGCCUGAUGCAGCGACGCCGCGUGAGGGAUGAAGGCCUUCGGGUUGUAAACCUCUUUCAGUAGGGAAGAAGCCGCUCUUUCGGGGGUGGUGACGGUACCUGCAGAAGAAGCGCCGGCUAACUACGUGCCAGCAGCCGCGGUAAUACGUAGGGCGCAAGCGUUAUCCGGAAUUAUUGGGCGUAAAGAGCUCGUAGGCGGUUUGUCGCGUCUGCCGUGAAAGUCCGGGGCUUAACCCCGGAUCUGCGGUGGGUACGGGCAGACUAGAGUGCAGUAGGGGAGGCUGGAAUCCCUGGUGUAGCGGUGAAAUGCGCAGAUAUCAGGAGGAACACCGAUGGCGAAGGCAGGUCUCUGGGCUGUAACUGACGCUGAGGAGCGAAAGCAUGGGGAGCGAACAGGAUUAGAUACCCUAGUAGUCC
rnacentral:rRNA from 1 species